rnacentral:tRNA from 1 species
GAGAGUAUAGAUCAGUGGUAGACUGCAUGCCUAGCAUGCAUGAGGUCCUAGGUUCAAUGCCCAGUACUUCCA